rnacentral:rRNA from 1 species
UACGUAGGGGGCAAGCGUUGUCCGGAUUUAUUGGGCGUAAAGAGCGUGUAGGCGGCCAGGUAGGUCCGUUGUGAAAACUCGAGGCUCAACCUCGAGACGUCGGCGGAAACCCUCUGGCUAGAGUCCGGAAGAGGAGAGUGGAAUUCACGGUGUAGCAGUGAAAUGCGUAGAUAUUGGGAGGAACACCAGUGGCGAAGGCGGCUCACUGGACCGGUUCUGACGCUGAUGCGCGAAAGCGUGGGGAGCAAACGGG